CUCUGGGGACAGCCUCCCGCCCAGGAUGUGAGGCAGGCAGCAGCUUGCUGGCCCAGCCUGGCCCUGAGGUGGGGGGUCCUGGCUGCGACCUGGGAGAGAUGCCCCCUUCCCUGGCAUGCUGAGAGCAGCCGGCUCAUUCCUGCAGCCCAGAGUCCUUCUUGAGGGAGGAGGCCAUGGUGUCCACCCCAUCAACCUCCGGACGGCCAGACAGGUUUGGCCACAGACGGGAACGGCAUCUUCUCUAUCGAGGCAGGGUUGUAUUUUGAAGGAGGUCUCUGGACAGUUGGCAGGACAGGCUGCUGAGAACCCGAGGUCACCGCGGCCCCCGGCCCUGGAAGAUGGAGUAGCCUCGGACUGUGUGACUCUCGGGCCUCAGAGAGGCAGCUCUGGGCUGGGCAGAGGUGAUGCUUGCUGCUUUUCCAGCCGCCCCCGGGUACAAUUCCUCCUGUAAUUUCACUUCCUGAGCCUCUUGGCGCACUUCCUAGUUGUGUAAUAUUGAGCAAGUUCUUGAAAUCCUCUAAGACUCAGUUUUCUCAUCGCUAAAAUGGGAACCGUAGCUGGCCCUGGUGACAUGUGCGGGAGUCCCAGCCCUUGGGAAGCUGACACUCGCUUUAGCCCAGAAGUUCGAGACCAGCCUGGGCAGCACAGUGGCUCAAAACAAAAGAUUAAAAGGGCAGAGAUGUAGCUCAGUAGCAGAGCACUUGACCUUGGUUCUAACCCUUGUACUACAAAACUAACUAACUAAAUAAAUUGGGACAAU